GGGAGGAGGAGGAAGAUCUCCAGGGCAGAGGCACAUUGGUUGUAGGCAGCAGAGGAGAGGGAAGUGUUCACCCCUUCUCAGCACUGUGCCCCACGCAGCCCUAGAAAGCCUGAUCUGCAUAUGAGGAGCUUAAGUCACCUUCAGCAUCAUGAGGUGUCGUGCAUGUCAGAGAAGUGCCUUACCACUGGCUGACCAGGAAACUUUCCUCAUUGUGACUAUAAGAGGCUUAAAUUAAUGCUUACAACUGAAAUGACAUUUAUGCUAAGGAUGGAAACAUUAAGUGGACUUUGCCUGUUUUAAAAUAACGUGGAUGGUAAUGGGGAUGCAAUGGCUUUGAAGGCAAAUUUGCAUUAAAGGUUAGUGUACCAUCCCAGGUGGCAGCUAUUUCACUCAUUAUCCGCAGUCUGUGACUGCCAGCAUUGUAAUAUUGUACUGCAGUUUUGACAUACCAGUAUUAAGCAAGAAAUCAUGCUAUGCACUGCAUCCAUCUCCUUCUGUGGGGGUUCAGUCUGAGGGGCAGAAAGACCCCCAGAGUCAGUAACCACUCAGCUUUCCAGAAGUGGUGCCUUAUGAAGAGAAAUGCUCCCAAGCUCUUCCUCCUGGAAAUCUCCUGGAGAAUGGGACAUUCCCUCGUGGGGAUUUAGUCACAGUGAUCCUAAUAUCUACCGUAUAGGGCAGCUUAGAACAUCCAUGUGGGCAUUCAAGACAGAGGACCAGUGUUUCCUUUCCUGCUCUGGAAAGAAUACAUCUGAAUUGAGGACACAUGCAAAGGAUGAAGCUGCUAUUAAAAGUGACACAUGAAGUAUUUUUGAAAAAUGUGGCUUUUUAUGUCACCUUAACUUGUUUAAGAAAUGUCUGGCCAUGUUUUUAAAACAUAUUUUCUCCUCUCUUCCCUGGUUCUUCUGAAGAGCAGUGUGAGUGGGAGUGUUGAACGGAUUUGAUCUCACUUUAGAGGGAGAGUGUUACAUCUUUAAAGAGGCUUUUUUUUUUCUCUA